rnacentral:misc_RNA from 1 species
CCAAUGAUUGGGAACCAGUUGAGGUUGAUAGAUCUCCUGGUUGCCUAAAAUCAAAUACCCAUCUUUAUGCACCUUUUUUAUGUCUCUGGUGGUCGCAAGAGAAGUCUCUUAUUUGGAGGAUCUCUUCUAGUUCAUUUUGAUCCUCGGACAAAUGAAUGAAGCCACCAAAUGGUUGCUAUAACACACUUUUUUGCCGUCCAAAAUAUCUGGUCUAACAUUGAUUUGUGUAAAAUACAUAAAA